AGUGAACGCUGGCGGUAGGCCUAACACAUGCAAGUCGAGCGGCAGCACAGUAAGAGCUUGCUCUUACGGGUGGCGAGUGGCGGACGGGUGAGGAAUACAUCGGAAUCUACUUUUUCGUGGGGGAUAACGUAGGGAAACUUACGCUAAUACCGCAUACGACCUACGGGUGAAAGCAGGGGAUCUUCGGACCUUGCGCGAUUGAAUGAGCCGAUGUCGGAUUAGCUAGUUGGCGGGGUAAAGGCCCACCAAGGCGACGAUCCGUAGCUGGUCUGAGAGGAUGAUCAGCCACACUGGAACUGAGACACGGUCCAGACUCCUACGGGAGGCAGCAGUGGGGAAUAUUGGACAAUGGGCGCAAGCCUGAUCCAGCCAUACCGCGUGGGUGAAGAAGGCCUUCGGGUUGUAAAGCCCUUCUGUUGGGAAAGAAAAGCAGCAGGUUAAUACCCCGCUGUUCUGACGGUACCCAAAGAAUAAGCACCGGCUAACUUCGUG
rnacentral:rRNA from 1 species